CUGCAAGAUUCUGGGUGGAGGCUGGACCUUUAGACAGACAGGCUGUGUGUGAGUCCUCUGCUGCAGUCCAGGCUGAAACAGUGGACACUUUCAUUUGGCGUCAUGUCUGCGAGGUUGUUCUGUGGAUUUCUGCUCCUUGCAGUGUUCCUCAGUGGACUGAAUGGAUCAAGACCAGCUGUAAAGCAGGAGCUGUCAGCUAUUCU